GUGGCACUUCCUCUUUCACUCUUUCUUUCCUGCUGCCUUGUGAAGAAGGUGACACUUCCCCUUUCGCAAUGAUUGUAAGACCUCCCCACCCAUGCAGAACUGAGGUGAUAACUGGAAGAGAGCAGAAAGGGAGCAUCUGGGAUACUGCUCUAAGAGCAGGACUGCCAUAUGAGGAUGCAGAGACUGUGCCUUGUGAAACUCCAGGGGCACCAUUCAUACAAGCCAACUGGACUCCAAGUGCCACGAGAACAGAGAUUGGGUCUGGUCCCCAGCUUCAGUGCCUCCAAGGCAGAAACUCAAGAGACGUUGUUGAACUGUCAGCCUUUACAUUUAUGCAUUACUAUUGAAGGCCUGGAAUAAAUGGAUCGUGUUUUACCUGUUAUCUUGCUCAUCUCUAUUACUGCUUCAUCAGCAGCUCUUCCCAAAGCAAUAAAAUGAACAAUGGCCCCACUUUGUUUCACUUCAUCAAUACAAGAACUUGCAGUGUUAUCCUCCCCAUCAGUCAGCAGCAGUACUUCGGAUCCAUCGAGUUGGGAAUGUAGCUCUCCAAUCACCUGCAAACAUAAUGCAGAGCACAGUUACCAACAGAUGUUCCUAGAUCAAAUAGACAAAUGGGAAAUGAGAAAAAAUUUACAGAGAAAAUAAACAAAGUUAUGCAGAAUAGAAGAGAUAACCUCUAUUUUAAAAUAAAGAAUUUUCAAUCAACAAUCCUUGGGGAAAGUUAAACAUGAAUUUUUUUAACUCCCAGCUGCAGGUAGUAUUUAUUUAAAGGAAUUCGGUGGGACCAGGCUUUGGAAAAUCCUGUCUAGACUAAAUGACAAUAACAUCUCAACCUGGGAAACUCAGGUCAACCAGAUACCAAAGGUAUAAUCACAGUAUGUGACAUUAAUUAGUGUUAUGUUUUCUUUGACUGGACUACCUUCUGACAGACAAGCCUUCAGUUUAUAAAGUCUCUUGCAUUUAAAGCUAGAUGCAUUAAGAAUCCACUUCAACAUUUGAAAAAGUCAGUGAUUACAAAUUAGUAAACCCUCAGUAUGCUUAUAAAGAAAAAAUAUGGAAAGUUCUAAGCAUGUGGUUAGGGACUUUGUUAUGCAACUUUCAUUUACUUCUAAUAAUAACUGGCACAGAAGUAAGCAUAUUGGUGAUGCUUAAAGAAUAUAUUAAAAUUAUACUUAUUAAGUUCAAUUUGUAGCUUGUAUCCUUUUCCUAAAUGCCAAACAGUUUGAAACUCAAAGUUUUGAAACUAGGUGCCUGUAAAAGAGUAUAGAGAGAAGUUAGCCCAGGAUGACAACAUAUUUCAUUUUCUUUGACAGUUUUAAUUGGUGGUGGCAUCUUGGAGCACCAUUUUGAGACCUUGAUUCCAGGCCAAGAGGUGAAAAAUGACAGAUUGUCAGUGACUUUCUUUGGCAUGGAGUGAAGGUGUGUGUGUAGAUUUGCAGAAGAGGGUUUGGAAUGUAGAAAUCCCUAAGAAAGCUGGUAUCAGGGAACAAAUUGACCACGCUUAUUACAAUUUUUGCAUGUUUUGAAGCAAAGAGUGACUAAUAUAUAUAUUGCAAUAUAUGGGAAAUAUUCUCUGACAUGCCUUGAAACCGAACGGAAAGAGAGGAAAAUGCUUUUAUACAUUUAUGGCAUUUGUAGCAUCUCCAUCACACUUCUCCCACGCAUUUAAGUACAAAAUGAAGAUCCAAAGAUGAAGCAGAGUUCUCUCUUUCACCUCUCCUUUUCUUGCAUGAGUUUAUUUACCAAGCAUUUACAAUGUGCCAGUCACCGUGCUGGGGAUUCAGUAGGAACUACAUUCCUACAUUCAUAUAUUAAUAAAUAAUUGGGUUCAAUUUUACAAUGUUUAUGGAGCUUUGUGUCAGAGACUGAGGAGAUCUAGAGAUGAACAAGGAAGACAAAACUAAUAUGUAUUUACUACAGAAUAUUCUAUAGUUCAAGAGAAAUAACAGUGUAGUGUUACAGUUUACUGAACAUUCGCUAUGUAUUAACUGUGUUUUAUACAUUGUAUAAUUUAAUCCAUCUCCAAGCUCCCAAAAUGUCUUCCUAUUACCACUUUUACUGCCUACAAUUUAUUUUAUUCAGGGCAAUUGGAAUCAUCUUCCUGGAACAUAAAUUGAUUAUCAAACUCCGAUACUUUCAACCCUUCAAGAGCUUUUUGUUGUGCUUGAAACAAAAUACAAGCCUCAUAUUUUUUGAAGUUUUUUAAGAUCUAGUCAUUGUCUACCUCUCCAACCACAUUUCAUAUCCCCUCAUUUGCCAAACUCCACUGCUACUAGCUUCUAUAAUUUCUUAGAAUAAUCUAGUUUUUUCUCACCUUUUUCCUUAAGGAACUUUUGCAUUUCUUUUCUAUCUGAACCACUGGCUUCUUCUCAUCCUUCAAAUCAGAGCUUAAAUGUUACUUUUUAGAGAAGGCUCAUUGGCCUCUCUACCCAAAGUAGUUCUCCUUUCCCUGUUUCGUUUAUUCACAACACUAUCUACAUAAUCUGCAAUUCUUGUAUUUAUCUAUUUAUUAUCUGUUCCCCACUUAUAUACAUGUACCAUAAGAGUGAAAAAGCUUUGCUUGGUGAAUAGAUUAAAGCAUGUUCAUAUUUUGAAUAAAUUAAAACAUGAGCAACCCUAUGUGCUAGCUUUAAUUAUCCUAUUUUACUGAUGAGGUAAUUGAGGACUAGAGAGGAUAAGAAUCAUGUUUAGGGUCACAAACCUGAUAAGUGACAAUCGCAAUGUGAAUGCAGGACUUCAUGUUACAAACCUAAACUAAAAUGUCAUGCAAUCCAUGGAAGAGAUAGAUGCAAUUGGGUUGGGAGUAAAUGGGAAGCUACAUGAAGGAGAAAGGAUUUUGAAGGGUUGGUAGAAUUUUAACAUGCAGAGUUGGGAGAAAAGGAAGCAUUUUAAGUAGAGGAACUUGCAUGUGCAAAGGUUUGGAGGCUGUUAGUACACAGUGGACUUGGAGAACAAUGUGUGUAGUAAGUUGUUUGGAGGACAGAGCAUCAAGAGGGGAGAAUGGAGUAAAUAAGGCAGGAAAGAUAAGUGAGGACAAUUUUACUGAGCG
rnacentral:lncRNA from 10 species